CCUACUCGGGGUAUCAUCCUGCAAUAAUAGGAAUCUCACGUUGUGAUGUCACCUCUCAUUCUCUCGAGUCUCUUAUCUCGUGUCUGAUCCACCUCCACCUGGAGCUCUACCUCACUCUAGGCUCCCCAUUAGAAAAUAAUAUCCUCUUCUCCCUUUCUUUCCCUCCAAAACAAUCGUAUCAUCAUGUAGCACCUUCAAGAUUCCUCUAUCAGCUACUAUCCUGUAACC
rnacentral:lncRNA from 1 species